rnacentral:rRNA from 1 species
AACGAACGCUGGCGGCAUGCCUAACACAUGCAAGUCGAACGAGACCUUCGGGUCUAGUGGCGCACGGGUGCGUAACGCGUGGGAACCUGCCCUUAGGUUCGGAAUAACUCCCCGAAAGGGGUGCUAAUACCGGAUAAUGUCUUCGGACCAAAGAUUUAUCGCCUUUGGAUGGGCCCGCGUUGGAUUAGCUAGUUGGUAGGGUAAAAGCCUACCAAGGCGACGAUCCAUAGCUGGUCUGAGAGGAUGAUCAGCCACACUGGGACUGAGACACGGCCCAGACUCCUACGGGAGGCAGCAGUGGGGAAUAUUGGACAAUGGGCGAAAGCCUGAUCCAGCAAUGCCGCGUGAGUGAUGAAGGCCUUAGGGUUGUAAAGCUCUUUUACCUGGGAUGAUAAUGACAGUACCGGGAGAAUAAGCUCCGGCUAACUCCAUG